AUACGAUGAGCCAGCCUGACAGAGAAACCAACCCAACCCCUAACUCUGUCGUAGUGCUGGCUUUCAAGCCUCCUCAAUGUGUCUUCGAGGUCUUGCCUCCCGGUACCCAGCAGUAUUACCUGUACAUCUUGACCAGCUAUCCAUGUCAUUGCUUCUGCUAUCAAGUCUAUGCCUUUUUGAUUGUCUAGCCGUCCGAUGAAAGCAAUCACAGGAACAUCCCCACGAACCGGGAGACCAAGUUCUUUCUGCAAUGCCGCUUUACACUGUGCUUUACCUGUUUCAACAGUUUCCAGAGAAUAG
rnacentral:rRNA from 1 species